UUGAAGCUGAUUCAUCUUAUUCCUGAUUCAUCUUGAUCCCUUCAGUGGCUUGUUCUUGGAUUAGCAAUGUAGAACUGUCCCAAAUGGGUUUAAAGUUGUCAGUACUUGCUCUUGAACAGUUUAAUCUUUUCUCACAAGGAAAAAUUGGUUCUGACCAGUUCAAAUCUAUUUUGACCAGUUUAAGCUAAUUCUGCAGAGCUGGAGCCUGAGGUCGGCAAACCCAGGAAGAUGGCUGAAGACAAUGCUGAUUCAAGCCAAAGCAAGGAAUCAGCACAGGCCAUGGAUACUUCAUUCUUGAAGAAAGUCUUUCACUUUUAUGGGAUUUCCAACUGCCAGAUAUUAACUACUGUACAUAGUUUAUAUCCUUUGUUUUUAUUGCACAUUUGAAUCCUGCUGGUGAAAGCCUCACAUAUCUAUAUCCUCUUGCCAAACAUCUGUAGACUAAUGCCAGGAUCACUUAUACCAAACAAGGUACUGGAAGAUGACUGCUGCUAUAUCUCCUAAUGAUAAUCCAGCUGGGCUAACUAUCUUACUACCAUGAUAUUCCCUUAUAAAAAUUCACUGUACUUCUGCACCUGAACAUUCUCUUUCAGAGCAAUUAUGAUUGCCAAUCUUGCUACCUCCUUGUAUCUCCUAGUUUCACCAAUAUCUUGACAGCAUAUAGAGACAUAUAAAGAGUAUUCUAACCAAUACAAAGGCAUGGGCAAGGGUAUCCAAAUGGGAGACCCCAUUUGGUUCCCCUCCCUACAAUUUUAUAAUAUAUACGAAUGCCAAUUUAUAAACAUUCAUUCCAGUUUUUAUGCUAUGCUUCAUCUGGUAUGACCCUCCACCAUAUAUCCUACUAAUUUAUCCAACCUAAGUAAGAGAAUACAAUUAUAACAUGGAAAAUAUGCCAUAAUCAUGGUGAGACAAUGGCCAGUUUUGGUACCUGGUUCCCUGGAAGGGGUCAAGAUCACAAAAGUAGUCAUAGAAACUCCCUACCACCCCAGGAAUGUAUUAGAUUGCAUUAGGGCUUUCUAUGGGUAAACCUGUAAAAACCCCACUCUGCCUAGGGAAGCAUUUCUUGGGGACAUAUGUUCAUCUCAACUCAGCCUCUUCAUUGGACUAACUUGUCCAAGCAAACACAAACUAUUAAUUUGUAAAAAGUCAGCUGUGGGUGAAGGUGAAAUGCUCUUUUCUUGAGAAUAAUAUGCACUGCUUCUCCUGCUUAGACCUGCUGCUCUUUGUUUCUAACAUCUCUGAACCUCAUUUGGCUUCACACCUCGGCUUUUGAUCCUCAAUUCAUGCCUACUUAAAAGCUUGAUCAGUUACUAUGGAUAUGCAUGUCUGGCUUGAUUUGGCACAUUUCAUCAGACCUGAUGUUUUGUAUUCCUACUCCAGAUCUACACAGUAUACUUGCAUGUGUUUCUCACCAGAGCUGCCAUUCAUCAGAUCUGCCAGGGGGAACAGCCAGUCAGCAUGCUACUACAUUCUAACAACUGGCCCAGGAACUGUUCACAAACCAAAGUCCCAAGGGCAUCUGGACACCAAGCAUUACUUCUAUAUACUGCCAUAAAUGCUAAUUUUCCAGUAGCAUGUCUAGGAAAUAAAUAGGGAAAGACCCUAAAAGGUCCCUGUAUACAUGUCUUAAUUCAGAAAAAAAGAAGGCUGGAACAGAGGAAGCAGGGGUGU